AUGAGCUGGCCAAUCUGUUGUUGGGGUAAACGACCACCCACACCAUUCUGUCUGUUGUGGGGUACGACCCCAACCAUUCUGUUGUUGGGGUACGACCCACACCAUUCUGUUGUUGGGGUACGACCCACACCAUUCUGUUGUUGGGGUACGACCAACACCAUUCUGUUGUUGGGGUACGACCCCACACAUUCUGUUGUUGGGGUACGACCAUACCAUCUGUUGUUGGGGUACGCCCACACCAUUCUGUUUGUUGGGGUACAACACACACAUCUGUUGUUGGGGUACGCCCCACACCAUUCUGUUGUUGGGGUACGACCCACACCAUUCUGUUUUUGGGCGACAAUACCAUCUGUUGUUGGGGUACGACAAUACCAUUCGUGGUUGGGGUACGACAAUACCAUUCUGUUGUUGGGUUACGCCCACACCAUCUUUGUUGGGGUACGACCCACACCAAUCGGUUGUUGGGUACGACCCACACCAUUCUGUUGUUGGGGUACGACCACACCAUUCUGGUGGGGUACGACCCCACCAUCUUCUGUUGUUGGGGUACGACCAUACCAUUCUGUGUUGUUGGGGUACGCCCACACCAUUCUGUUGUUGGGGUACAACCCCACACCAUCUGUUUGGGGACGCCCCCACCAUUCUGUUGUUGGGGUACGACCACACAUUCGUUUUUGGGGUCGACAAUACCAUUCUGUUGUUGGGGUACGACAAUACCAUUCUGUUGUUGGGGUACGACAAACCAUCUGUUGUGGGGUACGCCCACACCAUUCUGUUGUUGGGGUACGACCCACACCACUUUUGUGGGGGUACGACCCACACCAAUCUGUUUGUUGGGGUACGACCCACACCAAUCUGUUGUUGGGGUACGCCCCACACCAUUCUGUUGUUGGGGUACGACCCACACCAUUCUGUUGUUGGGGUACGACCCACACCAUUCUGUUGUUGGGGUACGCCCAUACUAUUCUGUUGUUGGGGUACGCCCACACUAUUCUGUGUUGGGGUACGGCCCACACUAUCUGUUGUUGGGGACGGCCCACACUAUUCUGUUGUUGGGGUAGGACCACACUAUUCUGUUGUGGGGUACGCCCCACAUAUUCUGUGUUGGGUACGCCCACACUAUUCGUUGUUGGGGUACGACCCACACUAUUCUGUUGUUGGGGUACGACCCACACUAUCUGUUGUUGGGGUACGACCCACACUAUUCUGUUGUUGGGGUAAAACCCCACACCAUUCCAACACAGAAAAGAUGCUUUUAACAUAUUUAUUUAAAAAAAGAUUGGAAGGACAGUAUUUAUCAGUAAUUAUAAGUAAUUAUAAGUCAUAUUUCAUAGAAAUCUGGAAACACUGGGAACUUACUUUAAUUAAGUUCCAGGCAGUUACAGGGCCUCUCGAGUGGCGUAUCGGUCUAAGGCAUCGCAGUGCGAGCUGUGCGCCUAGAGAUCCUGGUUCUAGUCCAGGUUCUGUCUCAGUGGUAGCUGUGUCAAUAGAGAUCCUGGUUCUAGUCCAGGCUCUGUCUCAGUGGUAGCUGUGUCACUAGAGAUCCUGGUUCUCGUCCAGGUUCUGUCUCAGUGCUUGCUGUGUCACUAAAGAUCCUGGUUCUAGUCCAGGCUCGCAUUCGUCCACGACCGGGAGAACAAUGAGGUGGUGCACAGCAUCGUCCGGGUUAGGGGAGGGUUUGGCCCAGCAUCGUCCGGGUUAGGGGAGGGUUUGGCCGGCAGGGAUGUUGUUGUCCCAUCGUGAACUAGCGACUCCUGUGGCGGGCCGGACACAAUGCACGCUGACACGGUCGCCAGGUGUUAACUGGCACGGUCGCCAGUGUUAACUCCACCACAUUGGUGCGGCUGGCUUCCGGGUUAAGCGGGCAUUGUGUCAAGAAGCAGUACGGCUUGGCUGGGUUGUGUUUUGGAGGACGCACGGCUCUCGACCUUUGCCUCUCCCGAGUCUGUACUGGAGUUGCAGCGAUGGGACAAGACUGUAACUACCAAUUGGAUACAACGAAAUUGUGGAGAAUUUUCUUAUUUUUUUAAACAGAAUAAAAUAAAAUCUAUAUUUUUUAAAGCCAACAAAGGGCAAAGCCCUAAUUCUCACUCAGAACUCUCCCAGCUGAAAAUGUCCACAUUGUCCACAAAAUGUCCACAUUUCCAUUGUGUUUUGAGUACCUGCCCCUCCCUCCCACAGAAGCAUCAUAGCUGUAGCCCCUCCCCCUCAUAAGCAUCAUAGCUGUAGCCCCUCCCUUCAAAAGCAUCAUAGCUGUAGCCCCUCCCCACCAGAGGCAUAAACUACUGUACUGACGUUUUCAAGUUUGAUUCAGAAGAUAGAGAUUUUUAAUUAGAGAAGAAGGGAUUCACUUUUUCAAUGAUACUAUAGUUAUCACGUUUCACAUCGGAUGUAUUAACUACAGAAAGGUAAGAUGUGUUUUUAAUGCUGGUGUCACUCUGAACACACACUGAAGUUCAACGUUCCUCCAUAGAAGCCUCCUCCUCCGUAGGUAUAAUUCUGUGGGUCUAAUUCAGAUAAUGAUACGCUACAACAAGAUGCACAGCUCUUCAAGACUAGCCUGCUCCUCCCUCUCUCGCUCUCUCUGCCCACAAAAUGUAUGUGGCUUCUUGCGCUCUACACUUGUCUGUCCAACACGCAUGUAAAUAACUAGCUUGCCCACUCCCAUAGCAAGCUGCUCUGUCCACACUGAUUGUUGCGGAAUGAAAGGAGUUCUGGUUCUAGAAUUUUGGUUCCAACCCCUGGGGUGUAUUCAUUACGAAACGGGGAGGGACUUAUCAGAAUUUGUCCAAUAGAAAACGGGGAUGGACUUAUCAGAAUUUGUCCAAUAGAAAAUCCGCCCAAAAUUGCAAAAUGUUCCCGAAUCAGCGAAUGUUUUACCCAGUUAGGAAACCUGACAACACAUGAGAGAAAACACACAGGAGAAAACCCUUUCCAAUGUUCCCAGUGUGGAAAGCGUUUUACCCAGUUAGGGAACCUGACAACACAUCAGAGGGAGCACACAGGGGAAGAUAAGACCACAUUUUCCAGGACACCUACAAUAAGAUCAUAAAGGGGGGGCUGUGUUUGACUGAGAAUUUGUUUUUUUUGUUGAUGUCGCAUGAAAUCAUGUUUGUAUGAAAUAUUACCACAAAAAAAUAGGCCUACUUGAGUUUUUUUCCUCUCGAGACGAGACAUUUUAAAACAUUUUGAUUGUGGAUUUGGAUUGAUUGAAUAGAACUAUGAACCCUUUAGAUGUUAAUGAUUUGAUUUGGAAAGUUGUAGAUUUUAUUAAAUAGAUUUGAAUGAAUGUGUAUUUCUUGUUUCUAACUUUGAAAAAAACUUGUCAAUUUAGUCGUUUUGUUUCAUUUAAUUAAUUUGUGUUGUCGUGUCUGUGACUAUCAUUAAAUGUGAAGACUUAUUUAUCAAAUCA
ensembl:lncRNA